AGUGAACGCUGGCGGUAGGCCUAACACAUGCAAGUCGAACGGCAGCACCGUAAGAGCUUGCUCUUACGGGUGGCGAGUGGCGGACGGGUGAGGAAUACAUCGGAAUCUACUUUUUCGUGGGGGAUAACGUAGGGAAACUUACGCUAAUACCGCAUACGACCUACGGGUGAAAGCAGGGGAUCUUCGGACCUUGCGCGAUUGAAUGAGCCGAUGUCGGAUUAGCUAGUUGGCGGGGUAAAGGCCCACCAAGGCGACGAUCCGUAGCUGGUCUGAGAGGAUGAUCAGCCACACUGGAACUGAGACACGGUCCAGACUCCUACGGGAGGAAGCAGUGGGGAAUAUUGGACAAUGGGCGAAAGCCUGAUACAGCAAUACCGCGUGGGUGAAGAAGGACUUCGGGUUGUAAAGCCAUUUUGUUGGGAAAGAAAAGCAGCAGGUUAAUACCCCGCUGUUCUGACGGUACCCAAAGAAUAAGCACCGGCUAACUUCGUG
rnacentral:rRNA from 1 species